rnacentral:rRNA from 1 species
CCUACGGGAGGCAGCAGUAGGGAAUAUUGCUCAAUGGGGGAAACCCUGAAGCAGCAACGCCGCGUGGAGGAUGAAGGUUUUCGGAUUGUAAACUCCUUUUGUUAGAGAAGAUAAUUGCGUUAUCUAACGAAUAAGCACCGUCUAACUCCGUGCCAGCAGCCGCGGUAAUACGGAGGGUGCAGGCGUUACUCGGAAUCACUGGGCGUAAAGCGCGCGUAGGCGGGAUAGCAAGUCUGAUGUGAAAUCCUAUGGCUUAACCAUAGAACUGCAGUUGAAACUGUUAUUCUAGAGUAUGGGAGAGGUAGGUGGAAUUCGUGGUGUAGGGGUAAAAUCCGUAGAGAUCAAGAGGAAUACUCAUUGCGAAGGAGACCUGCUAGAACAUAACUGACGCUGAGGCACGAAAGCGUGGGUAGCAAACAGGAUUAGAUACCCGGGUAGUC